rnacentral:lncRNA from 1 species
AGAGACACAGCAAGUAUAGACAGCUCGGAAGACCUUGACCCCCACCCACCCCAAUCGACGUGUUUUCCUGGGCUUUACUCUUUGCUUCCGUUAGUCACUUUGGCCAAGGUUUCUCCUGCGUAGACGUCAGGAUGGCGAGGACAGAGGCCAGGAAGGAAGGAGAUGUGUCCCAGAAAGCUGAAGCCCCCUCCUGGGGCAGCCUUUUGGAAGGAGCUUCUGAUACCUAACCUGGAUCAUUCCUGCUGCAGUAUCAGCAGGUGUCAGCCGGGGAAGGAGAAGCCUUCUGUGAAUGACAGUCCUUCAGAUGACUAAAAACAGCUGAACUCUAUCCCAAGCAGAUAUAAGAGAGGUGGAGAUCAGGGUCUUGCUCUAUCAUCAAGACUGGAGUGCAGUAGUGUGAUCAUAGUUCACUGCAGCCUCAAACUCCUGGGCUCAAGCGAUCCUCCCGACUCACAACCUCCUGGAAUUUUUUGAUGGAGAGAAACUGAGUCCGAGGGAUGUCAACAUGCCAAGUCCAUGGAAAUAUCAGUGGGCUGGAAUUCUAGCUGCCUGAAAGAAGACAUUCCUCACACAAGACCUCACAAUCAUAUCCAUGGAAUUAUAGCACUGGGCUCUCCAGAUGGUGCUACAGGAAGACCUCCAGAAAUUUGACAAGAGUAGAGAAACCAACAAAACCAACCGGAGAGAGAUGGUUUCAAACAAUCUGUCCCCCACCCCACCACUAUUCACACCUUUCACAAGGGCCCAGCCACAAAGCCAGUGCAACAUGACAUCAAUCAUCAGCAAAGUGGAGAUGGUUGUCCCAGUGGAGGGGGAUUCUUCGUGUUACGUAGAUAGGAAGCACGAUGCAAAAGUGUUGAAGCAGGAGUGUAAAGAAUAAUUAAAACACCUGCCCAAGACCCAAGCAAGGAUAGGAUUUCCCAGACAUUCGUGAGGGAGAAAAUGCCAUGUCCUUUCCUUCUGGUGUCACAUCAGGGCACUGCUCCAUGGCUAUGCAGAGGCAGACAUUCAGGUGGAAAGUUAUAAGACAAUUUCCCCCUGUGAAUUAAUCAGAGGGCACAUAUGAACAUCUUGUUGCCAAUUCACCCCCACCACUGUCUCUUCAGCUAAGACACCAGUUUAAUGAGAAUCUGAAGGCUGCUAGAGAAGGGAGAGAAACAUGAAAGUGAGUCCCAUGCUGAUUGUUGUUGAAAUACCUGGAAAGAAACUGGCAAAGACUAUCCAAGGGAUGCUAAGACAUGUCCGAACUUACAAAACAGUAGAACCUGAAUAGGAAUUUGAAGUUGUCUAUACUCUCCUCAGCCACACCCUGCCAUUUUACAGAUUGUCUUCUCUGGGGAAGUUAGCUGUCAUGUUGUGAGGAUACUCAAGCAGUUUAUAAAGAGGUUCAUGUCGCAAGGAAUGGAGGCCUCCUGCCAACAGCCAUGUAAAGGAGCCAUCUAGGAAAUAGAUUCUCCAGCCCCAGUCAGACCUUCAGAUGAUUACAGCCCCUACCAACCUUCUGACUGCGGUGGAAGGAAGGUUCCGGAACCAGAACCACCCAGGUUAAUGUGGGUAAGUCUCAUCCAAUCCUUUGAAGGCCUGAAGAACAAAGAGUGAGGUUUCUGGAAGAAGAAAAUUUUACCUCAAGCCUGCAAUGUAGAAAUUCUGCUUGAGUUUCCCGCCUGCUGGCCUGCCCUGUGGAAUUCGGAGUCAAGAAGGAGUCUUGUAAGCAUUAACUGAGAUAGUAUAUGAAGAGUGCUUUUGCACCGAGUGAACCUUCAAUCAACUGUACUAGUUUGUAUGCCUGGAAGAGCUGCUAUAUGGGAUCAGAAAGAAAAAUAAGUGGAAUUGUGCGAGUGGAAAUGAUUGAUCUACAGCUAGGAGAAGCAGCAGAGCUCAAUCUCAAAAACAUAACGUUGUGUGGAAAAAGCUAACCUCAGAACACUUUGCGGCUCUAUCUUAGCAAACCAGGAGAGAAAUUCUCCUGAUGGCCUUGAAGAAGCAAACAGCCACCUGGUUAAGCCCCUGUGGAUAGUGCCAAGUGGCAGGAAAGUGGGAGCCACCUCUAGGACCUGAGGAUUAAAGUCAGUAAGAGCUGGGACCUCACUCAUGCAGACUCGAGGACAUGAAUUCGACCAACAACUUGAAUGAGCUUGGAAGUGGAUUCUUCCCUAGUCCAGUCUUCAGAAAUUAAGAAUGUUCCCAAAGAAUGAUGGAGACAUUUCAAAAGGAUACGGAAGCCAGAUUGUGGGCGCUUCUACUGGCCAACUCUGGGACAUCGUGGACAUCAAAAUAAAUUUGUAAUAAUAAAGGAUUAUAGCCUAUUAGUUAAAUCAGAAAAAUCUGAUUUAACUAAAUGAGUAGGAGGAAAAGAAAGCUCUUCCUUAUAUUAGAAAGUCAAUUAAUAAAUGCAGAAAGGAAUGAAAAAAUUAGAAAAGCCACCAUUUGGCAACCAUGGCAGGCAGAAUGGGGAGUAUGCCUCCAGACAGUAAUUCCUUUCAAACUGGUUUAUAGGAACUCACUGAGCUUGCUGAUCGACCUCUGAGAGGCAAAGUUUCUGAAUUAUGAAGUACUGAUUAUAUAAACUUAGACAGAGACAUGCUUCAUUAUUUAAUAGGACUGUGUCAAAAGCCUACUAUUAGGAUGAUGUGUUGGGUGUGGAACAGGGUCUCUUCCUGCCAGGAACACUGGUGAUUUCACUCCGUGUUCAGGCUGAUCUUUGAAGUUGAAGACAAGCAGAAGAAUCCUUCUAAAAUUUAGCCAUGCCCAUAGGCUGGGAGGGACACUGCUCCAUUCAGAGGCAGCAAAGCACAUUACUGUAUCUCCUAUAGAGCUUUGAGCAGUCCAGUGUACAUGGAGAAACUUAGUAAAUGUUGUUGAAUUAGUGAAUGAACAAAUCAAUGGACCAAGUCAGGGGUAAGUCUUACAUUUGUCAUCUAGGUGAUUAAGAAAGGAAAAAGUAUCUGUUUCAAGAGGAUUACAAUCUAACUGUACUCCAAUAGUAAAAUUUACUCUUUUGGAAUCUGAAGACA